UUAGCCUGAAAGGCAGGAAGAAGGAGGCGAGCGAGUAGAGACAGAGAGGGUGGUGCACUCGCAGACACACAAAAUCAAUGCUGAUCAAUGUUUUAUAUCACCAAGAUGCUGCUCCUCUCGACCUGCUCCAGCUGGAAAAAACACCUCCCAAUCACCUCUCCUACAAGAGGGCGUCAAGUCCCUCUGGUGUUUUACCCAGAGUUCAAUAACCUACUCCACCCUCAAUCAAGAGUGAGAAAAGAGGACAACAAUAAGGAGAAGCUGAGGACACUCAACAGGCAUGUAAAAGUGCAAUUAGCUGAAUCAGCCUCCGUCAGAUGGUCUGGCCAGUGGACGGAUGGAAGAGGACUUCUGGAUGCUGGUGGCCUGGGCUCAUCUCCGAAAUGAGAGGAUAUGAAGCAGUGGAGCUGGUUUUGUUCCUGUCGGGUCAGGUCCCAGGUGUGUCACCCCUUCAUCUGUCUACUCCUCUCUUCCUCCUCGUUCUCCUCCUCCAUUCCACCAAAGGCCUCAUUUUCUGCAUGAUUAAGCCUCCACCUGUCCUGCUCUUGGCCCCUGGCCCUCGCCUGGGCUCGAACACACCGUCAAUUAACAUGAGCAAGUUUUUAGCUGAGUCACAUCAAAAUAAAACUGAAAAGUCAGGGAGAAUGAAA